UGGACUCUCCAGCAUGUAUGCCCACUGGCAGCCUCAACAACCGUUGCUGGGACAGUGGGUUGGGCCUCUGCCAGAGUGUGGAACUUCAGCUCAAAGGCUCUCUCACGCUACCGAUGGCCCCGAGAGGACAAGGGUUCAAGUUAAAAAUCCUCAGCUUAAAUGCCAGCUUGACCAACCGAUGUUCCACCGUCUCAGCAGAACUUGGCCACCCGAUGCUCCACCGUCUCAGCAGAACUUGGCUACCUGAUGCUCCACCGUCUCAGCAGAACUUGGCUACCCGAUGCUCCACCGUCUCAGCAGAAGCUGAUUGCCUGUUCUUCGUGUCACCAGCUCAGCCUAGCAUGCUGCUGAUGGCUAGAAAGAGAAGACAAUACAGGGCCUGGGGAGAUGGCUCCCCAGUGAAGAUCACUUGCUGCUCUUCCAGGGGACCUGGGUUCAAGUCUCAGCACCUGUUCUAUAACUCUAGUUCCUGGAGAUCUGCCGCCCUCUUCUGGCCUCUGCUGAUACUGCAUGCAUGUUGUACAGAGCCUAAUAAACAGGCAAAAAUACACAUGAAAUAAAAAUAAAGGAAUACUUCUAAAAAAGAAAGCAGUAUGAAAACAAACACCUUCUGCAGAGAUCAU
rnacentral:lncRNA from 1 species